UACGUAGGAUUCGAGCGUUGUCCGGAAUUACUGGGUGUAAAGGGUCUGCAGGCGGGCGAACAAGUCGGUGGUGAAAGCCUAUAGCUUAACUAUAGAAAUGCCUUCGAUACUGUUCGUCUUGAGUUCGAGAGAGGGUAAUGGAAUUCAUGGUGUAGCGGUGAAAUGCGUAGAUAUCAUGAAGAACACCAGUUGCGAAGGCGAUUACCUGGCUCGACACUGACGCUCAGGGACGAAAGCGUGGGGAUCAAACAGG
rnacentral:rRNA from 1 species